GGAGUUAAGGCUAAAAUGGCACAGGUGGGUGAGCCCCGCAUGAACAGCUACAAUAGGAGAGUGCACACCCACCUGUGCAACUGGGCAGUGGUAUUGCUCUUAAUCUUUCCACAAAGGAUGCGGCCCACCUCCUAAAAUCAGGUGAAAAGGAGGGGCCCAGAGGAUUAUCAGAAAUGUCUGAGACCGGGGUGUCCAGCUCGCAAAAGGUAGAUGGACUGUGGGAAUGUUCUGCGUCUACUGGCGCAGGAGGAGAGCGCGGGGAAUCCUGUUUCCAGUUCUACCUCCAAUUGGAUGGCAUCCCUUAUGUUCAAAGGAAAAUCGCUGGCCGGACAAUCAAGACAUGAAUGGAAGCGAGGGUUCCUAGCCGGCGCGGGCUUCCCAACAUUU